UGGUGGGUAUAAAAUCAUAAUUUUUUAUCCUACCUCCCUUUCAUUUGUUUUGGGGAAUUUUUCCCAAGUUUUACUGCCUCUUUCUCCCUUUUACAUCGAUUCAGAAUAGCUACUUUAUUCCCUGGAAGAUAUUUCCCUUUUUCGAAGUUUGUUUAGAAUAAGGGAUUGGGGAAUAAACUCAUAAUAAAUUAAAUUGUUAUUCAGAAUAGGGGAAAAUGGAGUAGGGCAUAAACUCCCAGGGGAUUGUUAUUGAGAAAAGGGCUGUUUGUGUUUUCAUGGAAAGAGAAUUGAACCCCAGUAGGAUAUUCCCUCAUAUCUUAUAAAAAUUUUUAAUAAAAGUAUUACGUUAUCAUUGAGAUUUUUGUAGUGUUUCAAAAAAGUAACCGUGAAAAACAAGUGUUUCAGAGCACACAGUGCAUUGACUGGUCAUAAGCCAAACUUCCACGACGUGGACAUCUUGGCUCAAGAGAACAACUACAGACGAUGAUUCACUCUCGAGAUGUUGCAGUUCAUGGACUUACCAUCCGACGAGAGAAUGAAUUUCAAAAAAGACGAAGAAAGCUGCGCGAAGGUAUUUCGCCACACAGUCAAAAAGCGCAGCAGAAGAGAACACUCAGUUGACAACAGACAAUAGUUCGUGUAACAACUCAUUAAAUACGGAGCCUACCGAAAUUUUGGAAUGAAAUAAAAGAAAAAAACAUUAAAUUUUUGUGCUUUCAUAGAUGCAUACGCUCACAAUGCAGCUACUAAGUGUACCAAGCUCGAUAAUCGAGGAUUUUUACAAUGGAAAAGGAAAACCUGAGAUCACCACACACACACACCAACCAAUAUGGUACGCUUUUCGUCAUUUGUUUAGAAUAACUCAUCGGCCCUAUUAGGUGUGGAGUCUUCAAGGGCCAUACA
rnacentral:sRNA from 1 species